GCUGAAUUACGCUUGCCUAAGUUUACCAGUGAACAUCAAAAGGGAUGCAUGCGUGUCUGAAUGUAAGUGUGCUUGAAUGAGCAAAGAGAGCCUACUGUAUUUUGUACAAUGUAAAUGCUUUCAUACAUAUGACUAUGACGUCUGCAAAGCGUGUGUAUGAGUGUGCGUGUGUGUGCGUGUGUGUGCACUUCUCCACAUUGUGUUGCAGGCAUUCUACUGUUUCCUUUUCCUGUUUCAUGUCUGAGAUGUUAAUCAUUGUAAGUUAAAGCAUCACACCUCUGGUCCGUGCGGAGGUGGAAUGGACGUUAUUUAUAGUCAAAGCUUGGUUUAUAAAGGGCAUUCUCACAGCUAUAUUUUAUUAUUAUUGCCUGAUCGAUGAAUGCUAACCCAGCAAUGCUUUUCAGUUCAGCUAAUGUACAUGCACGAGAUGAGAGCUCUAUCUGUAUAUAGGAGCGACAGCCUUCUACCCAUUUAAUGUCCUUGAAGACAGUUGUGUAUAUGUAUCUGUAUAUUGUAUAGCUAACACUGUUUGUUUAAAAAAAAGCCUUAUACAGCUAAGUACACACCAACCAUGAGGUUUGUUUGGGGACAGAGCUCCACAACGUGACCGACCGCUUGUGACUUGUGACCUUUCCCAGCUGCUCAAACACAAAAUCUCCAGAGUCACAUGAACCCGGAAUGAAAAUAACCCACCAAUGAGAGUACCGCGUAUCAUACGCUGGAAAUGAUCAUUUAUAACGGCGAUAUGAAAUUUAAAAAGAUGUCAUUUUGAUGUAAACUCAGCUUGUGGUCAGACGGGUGUUCAACUGACUGGUCGAUCUCGAGCUCUGUCCCCUGCGAUGUGAGGCUCUGUGUCCUUCUAUGCAACUUACCAGGUGUACUGUUAGACCUGUCAUGUAGACAAAUGUAUAGUAAUCACUGCCUUUUAGACACUGUGAAUUUUUGGUACCCUAUAUUUUUGUAUAUUGUACAUUAUCAAAGGACAAUAAACCUUGAUGCCAAC
ensembl:lncRNA